CCCAUCUAAGUUUCUCCUUAGUGCUGUCGUCGAGAGGAGUUAAGAGCCUAUCUAUAUCUGGUGCCAUGUCGCAAAUAGAUGGCGGAAGCUGUAAGACGGCUGAUGGUCCUUCCAGUAAUAGGUCCUUGACGGGCUGUGGUACCUCGAAUUCAUCAACCACCGUGGCAACGUCCUCAAACUUCAGCUUAUCCUUAUGUCCGGGGGUAAGCUGUUUGUGUAGUAUCCAUCGGAAUUUUUUAAUAUAUCGUUUUCUUGUUUGUUGCCUGAAGCGGUCCGGUCCUUGUAUUGUAUUAGUCGGUGGUUGAUGUAUAUUGCAUCCAUGUUUUGAUUGUAGC
rnacentral:lncRNA from 1 species